AUGGCACAAAGCCAAAACGCAUCAUCCUGCUGUCAAGCAGCGCUGCACCAUUGUCACGCCGUCAUGCAUCUCGCCUCUGCGGGAUCUCCCGCAACUCGGAGGGGUGAGACGCGUGAACCAGAGGCUCCAGCCGCGGUGAUCUGCAGGCGACAGGCGAGUCGAGCAGCCAGCAGCGGAGAUGCACACUGCGCAUUGGAGAUGUGCCACUCUGCGCGUCUACAUGGCGGCGCCUGUUUUACUACGAUAGUGGAGCAUGGGGGGGGGGUCUGCACUCAUCAGGCUACACGCGGUUUCUUUCCACCCCUGCUGGUGGUGUGGCGGUGGAGGGAAAAACGUGGUGCAGGAACUGUGAUCUGCAGGCGAGGAUCAUCAUCAUCAUGUUCCUCAUCAUCAUCAUCAUCAUGUUCCUCCUCCUCAUCAUCAUCAUCAUCAAGCCCACAGCCUCUGAAGAACGAAGAAUUUACUGCUUGGAAACGGGUUUUCACAUUUUUAGAGGAUCCGAGUUGCAUCAUAUCCGGAUUCACUGGGACGUUUAUGAAAUUCAAAUGUUACAUGUUGUAGACUGACCUCAUCUCCAGCCGGAGCGUCAGAGCUGCAGUGUCAUUGAACUGUGGAUGAACGUGCCCUUCGUCGUCGUGCAGGCCGCAGGACACUGUGCGGCCAGGUGGUUAAAUGCAACACACCUGAUGAGGAUUUUUGCACCAACCAACGUGACUCAUGCUGAACAUAUACUUAAAUAAUUAGUGAUGGUUAGAAAAUAAAAAUGUCCAGUGGGAACGAGUAGUUUGUCUUUUCCAUGAUUUCCCGACAUUGUCAGCUCGUGGCCAAUUGAACAAUAAAUCACAAGUCCUCUUAUGACACGUUGAGAACCAUUGCAGCCUGCAGCUUCUUUAAUUGUGCAAAAGCAAAAAGCAGACGCCGUGUAGUUUUCCUGAAUAAACUUCAGGGGAACUCACAUUUUAAACAAGGUGAGCAGUGCAAGAGGAAAAUAAACCCAAAACAUAAAUGUGCCUCGUUGGUUCUUCUCCUCCUUUCCCCAUGACAACGCUGUUUACCACACACACACACAGUCAGAAUGUGAAGGGAACAACAUAUCUUAGGUAAUAACAUCAUUUCUCUGUUGUAUUCUGUGGACACGUUCAAAUCAAAGCUGAACGACUUUUGUACCUCUGACCUUGUGCAGCAGACUCACCCGGAGCUCACCUGCGCCACCUAGCGGCGAAACAUGAGCCAUACAACUGGGACAAAAACAAAUCGACCUUUAAUUGAUUAGUCAAAUGACAGACAAAUUGAGUUUGAUCCAUUUUUUGACAAAAACAGACACUGCCUCAAGAUCAUCAGUGAUGACAAUUACUAAUCCAUAACUUAAGUCAUUUAUAUACAGGUUUUGUAGUGAAAGUCAGACAAAACAAUUUCAAAACGAUGAGCGUUUUCAUUACUUCUGAUAGAUGACAGCCGUCACAGUUCCUUGUCUUAAAUUGAGAUUUAAGAAAGCACAGUUAACGCUGUAGCUUUUAAAAAAAAAUUAUUAGAGACACAUUCUUUACUUUAAAAAUGAUUUUAUUUAUUAAUACAGUGGUAUACUUAAAAUUGUGUUGUAGAGGAGGAGAAAAAAAGUCAGCCACACGUGAAGAGCUAAUAUCCAAUUAAAGCCGUGUUAUGUCUAAAAAAUAAAGGUGGUACUGGUGUGCCGUACAUUAUAUAUUGUCUAUUAGUACAAAAAUACAUUUAAGGGCACACAAUACAGCAUCCAGUAUCACAAAUCAGUGAGGGGAACACUUUGAGAGCACACCCUUUCAAAAGAACAUGUUUUAAAUGUGUUUUUAGCCAAAAGUACUUUCCUGAUCCUUAAAUAGCCAUAAAAAAAGACCUUGUUGUGACUGUAACAUAAUGUGAAUACACCGGUAGAAAACGUGUGAUGUGUCAUUGUUAGGUUAUAAGUUCCAAGGCUCGAGGGUAUAUCCAGAAUACAAAGAUAACUUGCUAUCUUCAGCUUUUUUAAAACAUGUUUUUUUUUCUCUCUCUAAGUUUUUAUACAAAAAAGAAAGACAUACAAAAAGUUCAUUUACAAACAAAAGAAACAAGGCAAUGCUAGAUUUAUUUACAGCCACUUCUUUUCCGUUGUUUUUUUUUUAAGUAAUGCAUAGCAGAUAAAAGAAGAGCAUACCUUUGUUAUCCUUUAUCGACUGUUAUUGUGAGUUAGACCCAGGUUUAUUUAUACAGUGGGUUCGUAAAAAAAAUGAAAUGGCAAAACAAAUGACAUUACCAUAAUUUAUCAUAACUUAUUUUUUCUUUUUUUUCUCUUGAUGAAAAGUGAAUAAUCUGCAGAUAAGGCAUCACUGCUUAUUGGUGUGAGAGUGCAAGAACGCACAGAGAGAUAAAAAGAGAGAGGAGAGAGAGAGAGGUGAGCAGGGAACUGAGGAGGCUACUGGACCUGAGUAAAGAACAUGCAUAGAUCUCCCUCAGGCUGGAAGGAGAGAUGUGGUAAAAGAGCAGAGAAGCUACAAGAUGUCGCCAUAGAAAAAACGGAAGGGAGUGAAGGAACAAUGUCUCUACAACUUGUGCUACUUGGGUUCAUAUCCAGCUCUUGCUCUGCCGACUCCUUCGACAGAUACUUGUGUCACCAUCUCUGGUUUUUAUCUCACGUCCGCAUCAAACCUUCAUUUAAAAAAAAGAUACACGUUCCGUUUUCAAGUCACUUUCAACUGAAAAAAUAAGGUGUUGACUGAAUUCAGGAGUAAAACUUUAGUAAAUCUUCUCUAUGCUACUAUAUAUACUGUAUGCAUAUAUAGCAUAAAUAUUUCUGAGGCAUUUACGCCACCUCAAAAGCCGUCCAUCCAUCUAUAUUCAUGUAAGAAAUUACAAUACACAUUUG
rnacentral:lncRNA from 1 species